CGAAUUCCAAGCUUGUGCCAGCCGCCGCGGUAAUACGGGGGGAGCAAGCGUUGUUCGGAUUUACUGGGCGUAAAGGGCGCGUAGGCGGCCAGCGCAAGUCAGUUGUGAAAUCUCCGGGCUUAACUCGGAAAGGUCAACUGAUACUGCGCGGCUAGAGUGCGGAAGGGGCAACUGGAAUUCUCGGUGUAGCGGUGAAAUGCGUAGAUAUCGAGAGGAACACCUGCGGCGAAGGCGGGUUGCUGGGCCGACACUGACGCUGAUGCGCGAAAGCCAGGGGAGCGAACGGGAUUAGAUACCCCGGUAGUCCUGGCCUUAAACGAUGGAUGCUUGGUGUCUGGAGUUUUAUAGUCUCCGGGUGCCGCAGCUAACGCGUUAAGCAUCCCGCCUGGGGAGUACGGUCGCAAGACUGAAACUCAAAGGAAUUGACGGGGACCCGCACAAGCGGUGGAGCAUGUGGUUCAAUUCGACGCAACGCGAAGAACCUUACCUGGGCUAGCC
rnacentral:rRNA from 1 species